GACGAACGCUGGCGGCGUGCCUAAUACAUGCAAGUAGAACGCUGAAGAGAGGAGCUUGCUCUUCUUGGAUGAGUUGCGAACGGGUGAGUAACGCGUAGGUAACCUGCCUUGUAGCGGGGGAUAACUAUUGGAAACGAUAGCUAAUACCGCAUAACAAUGGAUGACACAUGUCAUUUAUUUGAAAGGGGCAAAUGCUCCACUACAAGAUGGACCUGCGUUGUAUUAGCUAGUAGGUGAGGUAACGGCUCACCUAGGCGACGAUACAUAGCCGACCUGAGAGGGUGAUCGGCCACACUGGGACUGAGACACGGCCCAGACUCCUACGGGAGGCAGCAGUAGGGAAUCUUCGGCAAUGGGGGCAACCCUGACCGAGCAACGCCGCGUGAGUGAAGAAGGUUUUCGGAUCGUAAAGCUCUGUUGUAAGUCAAGAACGAGUGUGAGAGUGGAAAGUUCACACUGUGACGGUAGCUUACCAGAAAGGGACGGCUAACUACGUGCCAGCAGCCGCGGUAAUACGUAGGUCCCGAGCGUUGUCCGGAUUUAUUGGGCGUAAAGCGAGCGCAGGCGGUUUGAUAAGUCUGAAGUUAAAGGCUGUGGCUCAACCAUAGUUCGCUUUGGAAACUGUCAAACUUGAGUGCAGAAGGGGAGAGUGGAAUUCCAUGUGUAGCGGUGAAAUGCGUAGAUAUAUGGAGGAACACCGGUGGCGAAAGCGGCUCUCUGGUCUGUAACUGACGCUGAGGCUCGAAAGCGUGGGGAGCGAACAGGAUUAGAUACCCUGGUAGUCCACGCCGUAAACGAUGAGUGCUAGGUGUUGGAUCCUUUCCGGGAUUCAGUGCCGCAGCUAACGCAUUAAGCACUCCGCCUGGGGAGUACGACCGCAAGGUUGAAACUCAAAGGAAUUGACGGGGGCCCGCACAAGCGGUGGAGCAUGUGGUUUAAUUCGAAGCAACGCGAAGAACCUUACCAGGUCUUGACAUCCCGAUGCUAUUUCUAGAGAUAGAAAGUUACUUCGGUACAUCGGUGACAGGUGGUGCAUGGUUGUCGUCAGCUCGUGUCGUGAGAUGUUGGGUUAAGUCCCGCAACGAGCGCAACCCCUAUUGUUAGUUGCCAUCAUUCAGUUGGGCACUCUAGCGAGACUGCCGGUAAUAAACCGGAGGAAGGUGGGGAUGACGUCAAAUCAUCAUGCCCCUUAUGGCCUGGGCUACACACGUGCUACAAUGGUUGGUACAACGAGUUGCGAGUCGGUGACGGCAAGCUAAUCUCUUAAAGCCAAUCUCAGUUCGGAUCGUAGGCUGCAACUCGCCUACAUGAAGUCGGAAUCGCUAGUAAUCGCGGAUCAGCACGCCGCGGUGAAUACGUUCCCGGGCCU
rnacentral:rRNA from 1 species